rnacentral:rRNA from 1 species
AUUGAACGCCGGCGGCAUGCCUUACACAUGCAAGUCGAACGGCAGCGGGGGAGAAGCUUGCUUUUCCUGCCGGCGAGUGGCGAACGGGUGAGUAAUACAUCGGAACGUGCCCUGUAGUGGGGGAUAACUAGUCGCAAGAUUAGCUAAUACCGCAUACGACCUGAGGGUGAAAGUGGGGGACCGCAAGGCCUCAUGCUAUAGGAGCGGCCGAUGUCUGAUUAGCUAGUUGGUGGGGUAAAGGCCUACCAAGGCGACGAUCAGUAGCUGGUCUGAGAGGACGAUCAGCCACACUGGGACUGAGACACGGCCCAGACUCCUACGGGAGGAAGCAGUGGGGAAUUUUGGACAAUGGGCGAAAGCCUGAUCCAGCAAUGCCGCGUGUGUGAAGAAGGCCUUCGGGUUGUAAAGCACUUUUGUCCGGAAAGAAAUGGCUCUGGUUAAUACCUGGGGUCGAUGACGGUACCGGAAGAAUAAGGACCGGCUAACUACGUGCCAGCCGCCGCCGUAAGAC